CCUUCUCGACUUUGGCAGGUGGCCAAACCUCGUUGUUCUCUCUGCACGGGGAGGCUGAGCAUUGCUCUGUAAAUUAUGCACCAGCCCCACGAUGUUUGGGGAGCCUGUGGACCCAUUUUAUCUACAUAGAGCUGUCACCAUGCCUCCAGCCCCGUGUCACCUCCACCCAGCAGGCAGGAAGUUCUCUCUGAACUAAAAGACGGAAAUCCUGCCAUUUGUGAUGACAUGGAUGAACUUUGAGGUCAUUAGUGAAGUGAAAUAAGCCAGCCACAGAAGGACAAAUACUACAUGAUUCCACUUAUUCGAGGUUCUACAUGGCCUGGCUCAGGUCCACUUUUCCCUCCUCAGCACUGAUGACACUGGCCUUGGGAUUCUAAAUAUGUUCCUACUUCAGGACUUUUGCUUUUGCUGGCUCUUCAGCCUGGACUUAGCCUUCUUGGGCUUGGCUGGUUCCAUUUCAACAUUCUGGUGAAAUGUCAACUACUUGGGGUGGGGGGCUCCCCUGACAACCUGUGAACACUGAAGCUGCUUUAUUUUCUUCAUGUUGCUCAACCCUACCAUCAGUGAUGAUACUGAGCUGCCCACUGGCUUAUUUGCCAUCCCCUCCACAAGGAAAGACACUCUUUGAAGAACCAGAUAUUUGAGUCUUAUUCGCUGUGGUAGCCCCAGGGAAGCUUGUCAGAUAAAACACAAGACAUCCAGUUAAAUCUUAAUUUUAGAUAAACAAUGAAUACAUUUUCAGUAUAAAAAAUGAUGGCAUGUGACAUAUUUAUACUGAAAAAAUAUUUGUUGUCUUUGUAUUAUUGUUUGCUGAAUAUACUUGCCCUGGGCCCA